rnacentral:rRNA from 1 species
UUGACCUCGGAUCAGGUAGGAAUACCCGCUGAACUUAAGCAUAUCAAUAAGCGGAGGAAAAGAAACCAACAGGGAUUGCCUCAGUAACGGCGAGUGAAGCGGCAACAGCUCAAAUUUGAAAUCUGGUCCUUUCAGGCCCCGAGUUGUAAUUUGUAGAGGAUGUUUCGGGCGCGGCGCGGGUCUAAGUCCUUUGGAACAGGGCGUCACAGAGGGUGAGAAUCCCGUAUGUGACCCGUGAUCAAGCCCAUGUGAAACCCCUUCGACGAGUCGAGUUGUUUGGGAAUGCAGCUCAAAAUGGGUGGUAAAUUUCAUCUAAAGCUAAAUACCGGCCAGAGACCGAUAGCGCACAAGUAGAGUGAUCGAAAGAUGAAAAGCACUUUGGAAAGAGAGUCAAAAAGUACGUGAAAUUGUUGAAAGGGAAGCGCUUGCAACCAGACCUGUCCGCGGGCGAUACUCCCGUUCUCGGGGGUGCACUCGUCCGCGAUCAGGCCAGCAUCGGUUUGGGCGGUCGGAUAAAGGCCUUGGGAAUGUAACUCCUUCCGGGGAGUGUUAUAGCCCUUGGUGCAAUGCGGCCAGCCCGGACCGAGGACCGCGCCUUCGGGCUAGGAUGCUGGCGUAAUGGUUGUAAGCGACCCGUCUUGAAACACGGACCAAGGAGUCUAACAUCUAUGCAAGUGUUUGGGUGUCAAACCCAUGCGCGUAAUGAAAGUGAACGGAGGUGAGAACCCUUAAGGGCGCAUCAUCGACCGAUCCAGAUGUCUUCGGAUGGAUUUGAGUACGAGCAUAGCUGUUGGGACCCGAAAGAUGGUGAACUAUGCCUGAAUAGGGUGAAGCCAGAGGAAACUCUGGUGGAGGCUCGCAGCGGUUCUGACGUGCAAAUCGAUCGUCAAAUUUGGGUAUAGGGGCGAAAGACUAAUCGAACCAU